UACGUAGGGUGCGAGCGUUGUCCGGAAUUAUUGGGCGUAAAGGGCUCGUAGGCGGUUUGUCGCGUCGGGAGUGAAAUCCACUGGCUUAACUGGUGGCUUGCUUUCGAUACGGGCAGACUGGAGGUAUGCAGGGGAGAACGGAAUUCCUGGUGUAGCGGUGAAAUGCGCAGAUAUCGGGAGGAACACCAGUGGCGAAGGCGGCCUUCUGGCUCGUAACUGACGCUGUAGCGCGAAAGCGUGGGGAGCGAACGGG
rnacentral:rRNA from 1 species